AUUGAACGCUGGCGGCAGGCCUAACACAUGCAGGUCGAGCGGGGUUUUCGGGCCUAGCGGCGGACGGGUGAGUAAUGCGUAGGAAGCUACCCGAUAGAGGGGGAUACCAGUUGGAAACGACUGUUAAUACCGCAUAAUGUCUACGGACCAAAGUGUGGGACCUUCGGGCCACAUGCUAUCGGAUGCGCCUACGUGGGAUUAGCUAGUUGGUGAGGUAAUGGCUCACCAAGGCGACGAUCCCUAGCUGGUUUGAGAGGAUGAUCAGCCACACUGGAACUGAGACACGGUCCAGACUCCUACGGGAGGCAGCAGUGGGGAAUAUUGGGCAAUGGGCGCAAGCCUGAUCCAGCCAUGCCGCGUGUGUGAAGAAGGCCUUCGGGUUGUAAAGCACUUUCAGCGAGGAGGAAGGGGUGAGUGUUAAUAGUACUCAUCUUUGACGUUACUCGCAGAAGAAGCACCGGCUAACUCUGUGCCAGCCGCCGCAGUAACAC
rnacentral:rRNA from 1 species